CUCUUCUUCUUCGUCGUCUUCUGAUUUUUCUUUUUCUUUUUCCUCUUUUUCUUUUUCCUCUUUUUCUUCUUCUUCUUAUCCUUAUUCGUAUACGUAUUCUUAUUAUUAUUUUUAUAUAAUACUUUCUCGUCUCACAUCGACACACAAGUUUUCCUUUUCGAAUCUUUUCACUUUGCCAAAGUUCCUUUUCUCUUUUUUCUUUCUUGUAUUUUUUUUUCUUUUUUUUUUUGUUGUCUUUUCUUGUUUCUUCUCUUAUUCCUUUUCUUCUUCUUAUUCUUAUUCUUUUUCUUUGUUCCACGAGUCGUUGUUAUCUCGUAAUGUUUCGAAGGAAGACACGUUCCGCGCGAAUAUACGAUGAGCGAAACACAUACCAAAGAGCAAAAGAGAUGACGAAUAAGUGGAGAAGGUUUGCGGUGGAUCCGGCUAUGCGCGACGAUGAGGUAAUCUUUGCCGCAUGAGUCGGAGUUAUCUAGUCAGUUCGGACGAACGAACGAACGAACGAAUGAACAAACGAACGAACGAACGUAGGAAAGCUAGGUUCCCGCUGAUAUUUCAUUUGGUAAAUAUUCCUAAAGAAAAUCAAUUAUUCUUUUAAAGGAGAAAAUGUGAAUGACGGAAGGACGUUCGAUCGAAACGAGAUAAGAUUUUGUUAACAAUGAAAUAUCUCGAGCAAUUUUUAUCUUCAAAAAGAACAAAAAAAAAAAAAAGGAAAGGAAAGAAGAAGAACAAAAGAGAGAGAGAGAGAGAGAGAGAGAGAGGGAGGGAGGGAGAGAUGAAAAUGAUGGAAAAGGAAAGUCUAUUCGUUAGGGUAUGUAAGUACAUAGUACGUAGAUUCAACGAUUCCCUAGAAUCGAAUAAAAAGCUGAAAGAUUCGACGAUGCAAAGUGGAAAAAACGUAGAAAGAAAAGAAGAGAAGUGGAGAAGACUCGAGUUGGAUCCGGCUAUGCGCGAUGAUGAGGUAAUGUUUGCUACGAGAGUCGAAGUCUAUCUAACCAGGUCCGUACCCGAUGGAGUUAGAGUCGGUCGUCUAGAUCAGAAUCCAUGGUUACGCUGAGGGAUGAAAGAGCAGCAAAGCUGUUUGCUUGCUUACGCGAGAAACCUGUUCGCGAGUGGGCGCAAAUUUACGAGGAGACCUACAAGAGAUAUGCCAAAGGGAUGAUGAUGAUGAUGAUGAUGAUGCUGGUCGUUCGCUUAUGUUGGUCGCAGGUGUUCAACGAGAAAUACGACAAGAAAAAGGUCCUAAAUAUGGUAUAUAGGUAUACCUGGAGUCCAGGUAGAAGAAAUAAGAAAUACCAAUCGUCCCUAGUCCGUGCUUUGCCACGAAAAGCCUCGAACGAAAAGCGACGAGGCUUGACGAGGGUCGGACGGAGGGCCAACCCAAGGGGAACUUUACCGAACGUUUCGUUUCGACCUGAGCACGUUUGCUAUAACGCUGCUGUUAUAGCAGGAACGUUCGAGCACAAGGAAGCAAGCAAGCAGGCAAGCAAGCAAGCAACCAGGCAAGCAAGCAGGCAAGCAAGCAGGCAAGCAAGCAGGCAAGCAAACCAUAGUGGCACGCUACGCAGCAGCAGCGGUUCUCACGCUCGAAUCGAACGUUUUUGCUGUCAACGUGACGACAACAACUACAAAACGCUAAGGAUCUAAUACAGCGGCUAUGCCGCAGUCUGGAGCAAAAGUCUCGGAAACUUAACGUUUUCCACUUUCUUGUCUCACUUGGAAAAUCUAACGGAGGAUACAAAAUAGAAAUUGCAACUACUUUGGUAGUAACUAAUAAGGUACAUUAAAGCCGCUCGAGGAGAAAGUCGAGUCGCGAUGGUAGGAGAUCGCGAUUACGAUCUAGACGAGUGGCAGGCAAGCAAAACGGACAUGUUUUCUUUCGUCCCUACUUUCUGUGUGCUACGCGGUGUAAGUAGUAGUAAUAUAAUAAAUAAUAGAUCGAGAGAACUUACGGAUCAAAUUUUGAAAGAUUUGUUAAAUAAAUGAAAUCUCUUAUAUGUGAAAGAAACUUUCUCUUUGUGAUAUAAUGUUUAUUGUCUUAUAGAUAGGUUAUCAGUUUCUCUCUCUCUCUCUCU